UUAAUAACCGCUAUUUCUAUAAUGUCUUCCAUCCCAAUUGGUCUCAGGCAAUGAAUGUGUUCCUAGUGUACAUAUUGGGAAGGCUCUGUUGCUGUAAGGACACGACACUGCAGUUGUCUUGCUUUGCACAGUAACUCUUAGGGGCAAAAAGCAAACAGUAAUGGUGUGUGGUUUAAACUGCAGGAUUACAUAUGGCAAUGCAUUAUCAUUUGGCCUGGUAUCUUGGUGAAGUGCUGCUUCAGACAGUAUCCUUAUUAAUUACCAAGCAAUCCUUGCAUGUUACCUGGGUGGGAAAUGUUGCACUCACACACGAAUACAGCAGCCAGUCAGAGCAAUGAGUCUGUUGCAAUGGGUGCCCAAGGGAACAGAGCCCUCAGAUAUAGGUUGCCCUGGGAAAAGGCUGCCUCAUCCCUGUCCCUGAUCCAGGAAUGGUGCAGGUCUGUUUUCCUGAGACCUGUACACAGGCAGCUGAUGCCUCAUAGCUCACCACCAGUUUUCCUCUCUUUGCUCAGAUGGAUUCUGUUGGUUGGGGCAUGACCAGCUUUGCUGAUCUCAAGCUCCUCCAGACAGAAGCCAGGCACUGCAUACAUCCUGCCAGGGCCGUGGGGUGGAAGUGGCACGUGGCAGGCAGGCCCAGCUAUCACUACUGUGGACCAUGAUAAAAUGAGGGCAUCUCCUUGGUUGGAGAGCACAAGGAUGACCUUUGAAGGACUCCUUGAAGUGGCUCCAGUGACUGGGAGAUGCAGCCUGGACGUAUUUCUGUCAUUCUAUCUUGAAGCACUGAAGACAAGGCUGUAUGUUCCCAUUUAAAUUCAAGGAACUCUGGAAGAAGGUGGAAAGGAAACCAAAUAACCUUGUGAGUGAUGGCAGAACAACUGCAGUGAGCAUGACAGCCUCCAAGGCAUCUCCAAAGUGGGGCUAUUGUAGGAGAGUAUCACAUCUGUGCUUGUAUUGCUUCACAGCUGAGGAAAUGGCUCUGGAGCAGCUGGCACUUCUCAAGGGGCAGCAACACAAUUGAGAUUGAUGGGAGGCAGGCAGUAAAUUAGCUUCAUAAGCUGAAUUCUGGCAAAGGACUCAAAUACCUGCACAGUAUAAACACACUGAUAUGAAGGAAAAUCCAUCUGAGGGCAUUUGAGGACACACAUCUUACACUUCCAGUUCUCUAUUUCAAGUUGGUCACUACGUGCUGAGUUGUCCACAUCCACAGGAAGGGCAUCAAGAGUCAAGCGUUAACUGUUCUGUUGGGGUCCAGUUCUUUACUCAAGAUGUGGAGAAAGGCUGAGAGCAGCCAGACUGCUGACCACGCUCCACAGAGCAGAGGUGAGGAACAGUUCUCUUCAGGCCAGGAAGCACUGCAUUCCAUAUCCCCUACACAGCUCAGGAACCAAGACUGCAUUCCUCUUAGCCCCUGAGUUGGUGGUAUUUAUGGUGGUGCACUGGUCAGUGGUUGGGAAUAGAAUGUGAAGAUGCAGAAGGAAGCUGUGUUGUGAUAUUUAAAUAUAUACCAGAGUGAGCAAAUAUUACAUUCAGGUGCUCUCAGUCUUGGGAGACAUCUGAUUUUCAGCUUUUGGUUGUCAGCUCUGAGGUUUGCAAUCACCUCUGCAAACAGUGUGGCAUCAGAAAGCCUCUUAUUUUGUGCCCUUCCAAGAUGAAAGCUUCAGGCCUGCAGUCAACACAAGGCAUUUUUUUCCCAAAUUGAAUAAAGGAAGCGAUUUUUAGUAGCAGUUUUCUGUCUGUGUCAUUUCUUGUCCUGCUUGUGCCUCAGAACCAUUUGGUGAGCUUGUGGCCACACUGUGCCCCACUCCCAGUCCCCGUGCAGUCCUGCAGCCUCUAUGGUCCCUUGUCCAUAGGCACAGGAGGCUACAGA